GAUUAACUAGACUAUGGAGAGGCCGGUUUGCAGCGAGCUGUCAUUUUAGCUUCCUGGACCUUCCUGGUGACGGGGUCUGUCGUUUAUCACCGGGGUUAGCCGCUUCCAGACUGGUCUACUGAGGAGCCGAAUCUCCGUUUGCGACCCUGGUUUCUAGUAGUACCUAAAAUGGGAAAGCACGACCGGAAUUGUCGCCCUGGCUGUCAGGUCCCUCAUCCGUACAGAAGAUUUCCAAUCCGGGAUCUUGUCCUGAUCCCAGCGAUUGAGUGGCUCCUGUAGUCGCCGGACCGCAGAGGCUAAGCAGUCACGUUUACCCAGCACAGACAUCUAUCGUAUGCCUCAGAGUCUUGAGCCUCUCUGCUUUCGCUCUUCUUCUGCCAAAAUUGUCCCUUUUGUGGCUGGGCUGGGGGUGACAACUCAGAUUGGAAAUUGAGCCUCGGGGCUCAUCACUGAGCGGCACCGUCGUUGUCAGCUCUUUUUUCAAAACACAAAUUAACACCAUUUCCAUGCUUGUUUACUGCAGUCACACACAGUUCUGUUCAAACUCGUCUUUUGUUUUUCUGAGACUGUCUUUGUAUAAAACCCUGGCUGUUCUGAAAGUCUCUAUGUACAUCAUACCCAUCUGCUCACCACUGUCACCAAUUUCUGUCUCUAAAAUUUUGAGUAAGUCCAUCAUGUGAUGGAAUCAAAUGGAAGUUGUCUUUUUAUAACUGGCUGGCUUCACUGAGUGCAGUCUUCAAGUUUAUAUUUUUCUUCCUUUUAAAGGCGCGUGUGUGUGUGUGUGUGUGCGCGCGCGUGCGCGCGCGCGCGAUCACAUUUUGUGUGUUGAUUUUCUUGUUGAACAUUUUUGUUGCUUUAUACAAUAUCCUUGGAAGUAUGGCUGCCUGCCUCUGCCCUCAGACAUCAGAAGGGGUCUGAUCCCUUUGAAUUGGAGUUACAGAUGGUUGUCAGCUGCCAUGAAGGUUCUGGGAAUUGAAUGCUGGUCCUCUGGAAGCCCAGCUACUAGUCUUAACCACUGAGAUGUCUCUCCAGACCCUGUGACCUAUUUUUAAAUUUUGGAUUGUUAGACCUGCCAUUGGUGAUGCCUGCUUCUAACCCUGGCACUAUGGAAACAGGCAGGACGGCUGUCACAAGUUCUUGCCAGCUUGGACUAUAUAGUAAAUUCCAGGGUAGGCAGAAAUACACAGUGAGAGCCUGAAUCAAACAUGCACACAAGUGAGAGAGGGGUUGGAGGAGCUUGCAUGUGAUACUGAGGUAUCUGAAGGCAGGCUUUCACCUUGCAGCCCAGGCUGAUGUCAAACUCCACGGUGUUGCUGGGGGAUGACUCCUGAUCCUGGAGCUUUCACCUCUCAAGUGCUGAGAUUAUCAUAGGCCUGUGCCACCGCAAUCUGAUCUUAAAGACUGGUCCCUGUUUAUUUUAGUUCUUGUAUUAGGUCAGUGGUCCACUUGGAGUUUUGUUUUUUAAACCAAGUCUUACUGUGUUGCCUAGGCUGGCCUCUUGGCCUCUGUACUUGAACAGUCCUUUUACAGCCUUCCAAGUGGCUGGAACUACAACACAUGCCAUUGAAAUCUGCACAGUGGUCAUGCUCAUAUGUCUCUCCAACAGUAGACUCGCCUCCUCCUUUCCCAUGUAGGUAUGUAGUUGUUCCGGCAGUGCAUGUGAUGGGAGCGCUCUCCACACACUUGACCUGACCCUUUGGUUUGUUAUGGCUGUCCAGUGCCAGGUCACACUAGUUUUGUUUUUGUUUUUUGAGACAGGGUUUCUCUGUUUAAUCCUGGCUGUCCUGGAACUCACUCUGAAGACUAGGCUGGCCUUGAACUCAGAAAUCCACCUGCCUCUCCCUCUCAAGUGCUGGGAUUAAAGGCGUGUGCCACCACUGCCUGGCCAUACUGUUUUGAUUACCAUAAUUUUGUAAGAUUCCUAGAAUGGGCCUUGUAAUGCUAACACUCACAAGGAGAGAUGGGAGAGUUGUGAAUUCCAGGGCAGCGUCCACAACCUAGCAAGAGCUCAUCACCACAAACACACACACACACAAUUAUUUGCCUAUAAAUUAAUGCCAGGGUCACAUGGGGGAGACCCUGUCUUAAAACAGAUGAGCAAGGUGGUGCACACCUUUAAUCUUAGCAUUCGGGAGGCGAAGCAGGCAGAUCUCUGUGAGUUAGAUAGGAUCUGGAACUUGGGGCACACCUGUCCCCCAGACCUUGGUUUCUAAAUUCUAUGACCUAUUCAGAAAAACAAGCAUUCUGUUGCAAAUUUCACUGACUCCAGAUCUUUGGCAGAUAGAUAACAAAGUAAAUGUAGAAUAUUUGUUCCAGAAAGAAAGUAAUAUCUCAAAAACCAAUGGACUUGUGUUAGCAGGUUAAAGGGGUAAAGGUUUCUUACUCUAGAUGUGAAGAAAGCCAUGCUACAAAUCUAAAAUGCAUGCUGUUCUAUAUAACAGAUGGCUUGAACUUUUAAGAAUUUGCAUCAUGUCUUGGUUGUAUACUUCUGCCAUGAUAGUAGCACUUAGAUGAGGCAGGAAGCUGAGGAGUGUGAGGUGAGUCUUAGCUACACGGCGCAUUUGAGGGCUUGUCUCAACAAUUCUAUGAAGUGUUGGUCUCAUGGACACCUGUGGAUACCGAAGUCCAUGGAUGCUCCAGUUCCUUUGUAAAAUAGCAUGAUAUUGAGUACUGCUCACAUCUGACUUCCUGUGUACCACCUAGAACAGUAUACAUGCUAUGCAAAUAGUUGUUUUAUGCUAUUUUUAUAAGAGUAAUGACUAUAAAAAGUCUACAAAUGUU
rnacentral:lncRNA from 1 species